GUUUUAAUAAUUUAAAUAAAAUAUUAAUUUUGUAAAUUAAAUUUAAGAGAAAUCUUUUAAAACA
rnacentral:tRNA from 1 species